rnacentral:lncRNA from 1 species
CAAAGCUCAAGUCCAACCUUCUUAGUGGACAUUCAACUUGAUACCUUAAUUGCAUCCAUGGCAAGACCUAAGCAUGAUCAAGCCCAAUGUUCAUAGUCUACGGCUUCAACUCUCUUGGAACAUGGCUGCACGACCUGGCAGACAUGGCUCAUCCUCUUGACCACCCGACUUAUCGGCAUAUCCCCUUUUUUAACUCAGCCUAGACUCUUUCAUGGCUGACAACCCUGGAUCGUCGCUUUGCAUGAACAAGCUACUUGACUGACAAGCUUCUGAUGCACUUCUCCAACCUUGGUUGACGUCCUUGUCAAGUCCAUGGUCUCUUCUGACCAUAGUUGCCAACAUACCGCUAACAGAGUUUCUGACGGACCAACGGUUCCCUACAAUCAAGGACAUUUGAGCACCAACUAUCCGAUUGUCCAACUUUGUGGUUCCACUCAAACAGCAUCGCACGAUGACCACACCUGUUGGUCCAAUGUGCCUCUAUCGAAUCCCUCUGCAUACGGUACCCACUGAUUUGAAGUCAUCCCUUGAAGGUCUCUCAAUCACUCUCG